rnacentral:rRNA from 1 species
GACGUAGGGCGCGAGCGUUGUCCGGAUUUAUUGGGCGUAAAGAGCUCGUAGGCGGCUUGUCGCGUCGACUGUGAAAUCCCGCGGCUCAACUGCGGGUCUGCAGUCGAUACGGGCAGGCUAGAGUUCGGUAGGGGAGACUGGAAUUCCUGGUGUAGCGGUGAAAUGCGCAGAUAUCAGGAAGAACACCCGUGGCGAAGGCGGUUCUCUGGGACGGUACUGACGCUGAGACGCGAAAGCGUGGGGGAGCGAACAGG